GCGGGAAUAACUCAGUGGUAGAGUGCAACCUUGCCAAGGUUGAAGUCGCGGGUUCGAACCCCGUUUCCCGCUCCA
rnacentral:tRNA from 19 species